AAGUCGUAACAAGGUCUCCGUUGGUGAACCAGCGGAGGGAUCAUUAACGAGUUCUACAAAAACUCCCAAACCCAUGUGAACAUACCCUGCGUUGCCUCGGCAGGCGGCGUCCCCUCUCGGGCGACCCUACCCUGCCGGAGGCCAUCACAACUCUUGUUUCUAUAGUAUCAUUUCUGAAAUUCAUAACUAAAUAAGUUAAAACUUUCAACAACGGAUCUCUUGGUUCUGG
rnacentral:misc_RNA from 1 species